AUUGAACGCUGGCGGCGUGCUUAACACGUGCAAGUCGAUCGGUAACGCGGGGGCAACCCUGGCGACGAGAGGCGGACGGGUGAGGAACGCUUGGGAAUCUGCCUAUCAGCGGGGGACAACACGGGGAAACUCGUGCUAAUACCGCAUACGCUCUACGGAGGAAAGCCGGGGACCGCAAGGCCUGGCACUGAUAGAUGAGCCCAAGCCGGAUUAGCUAGUUGGCGGGGUAACGGCCCACCAAGGCGACGAUCCGUAGCUGGUCUGAGAGGACGAUCAGCCACACUGGAACUGAGACACGGUCCAGACUCCUACGGGAGGCAGCAGUGGGGAAUAUUGGACAAUGGGGGAAACCCUGAUCCAGCGACGCCGCGUGGGUGAAGAAGGCCUGAGGGUUGUAAAGCCCUUUCGGUAGGGACGAAAGCUCUCGACCUGACACGUCGGGAGGUUGACUUAACCUACAGAAGAAGCACCGGCUAACUCUGUGCCAGCCGCCGCAGUAAUAC
rnacentral:rRNA from 1 species